GGGAGGGAGGGAAGGAAGGAAGGAAGGAAGGGGGGGGAAGGGAGAAAGAAAAAGAGAUACUCAAGUGGCAAAGCCACCCAGAUCCAGGCUCUGCGGUACUGAUGUGAAGUCACUGUCCACAUUUCUGUGAUAAACAUGCAGCGCUCCUGGAGACAGCACAGAUGGGGCGCGACGGAGUUCAGCGGUAAAGUAUCUGCCCGGGACGCACAAAGGGCUGGGUCCAAAUGCCCACUGCCAGGAGGGUAGGAGGAGCAGAUAACGAAGACUGGCCCCGAAGCUCUGGGUUUACUUCCCAGACCUUAGCGUCUCCAGAGGGAAGAAAAAGCGGGUCACGUGCCCAGGGCUCAACCAAUCACUGUCCUCGGAGGAGGAGGCACUGGAAUGCUCUGAUUCGCUGAACCUGAGUCAUGGGCGUUCCCUGAAGAGGGAAGGCCGGGUGAACCCCAAGGGGACUAAGUGACUGAAUGGAGAAGUUUCUUUUUCAAAAACAUUGGAUGUCGUUCCCAGACGUCUGGCAGAACCCGUGAGUGGCGGUGUACGCCUGUAAUCCCAGCACUCGGGAGGCUGAGGCAGGGGAAUUGCCUCGAGUUCAAUGCCAGCUUGUGCUACAUAGUGAGCUCAAGGGCAGCCUGGACUACAUAGUGGGACCCUGUCUCAAGAAAACAAAAAAAGAAGAGGAAGAAGAAGAGGAGGAGGAGGGGGAGGAGGAGGACGAAGAAUUGGAGGAGAAGCAGCCGUUGAUGCUAUGUCUCUGGGAGGGAGAGCUGGGCCAACAGGAUGAGGAGUAUAGGAACAGCACCGCCCCUCCAGGGCUAGGUGCUCAUCAGGAUCUGCAUUCAUCAUAUUUGUUUGCAAUGUCUCCUCUAUUAGAUCAUCAGCCAUAUUUAGCAAGAUGGUGUCGGGCAGGGGAUUUAGCUCAGUGCAGCCGCGCCUGCCUCACAAGCGAAAGGUCCUGAGUUCGAUCCUGGUACCGCAAAAAAAAAAAAAAAGACAGAAAGAAAGAAAGAAGGAAGGAAGGAAAAAAAGAAAGAAAGACAGAAAGAAAGGAAUGCCUGUAACCCUACUGCUCAGGAGGCUGAGGCAAGAGGAUCAUAAAUUCAAGCCCAGCUUGGAGAAUUUGGUGGGAUCAAGUCUCAGAAUAAAAAUGUUAAAAGGGCUGGGGGUGUAGCUUAGUGGUUGACCAUUCUCCUAACAUCUGUCAGUUCCCUGUACCUUAAGAAAAACAAAACAAAAAAAUCAUUCCCCUGAGGCCAGGCACCUCAGUUACUGCUGUGUCCCACCGUCCAGCACAGUACCUGGCACACCACAAGCUCUUGACAAAUACACGUUAAAUGAAUAAAUAAAUAAAUAAAUAAAUAAAAUAUAUACAUUAAAUGACCAGAUCGAUACUACUAAUAAAAACAAGUCAUCAUUAUCGAAGGCUGAGGCAGGAGGAUUGCAAGUUUGAGCUCAGUCGGAACAAUUUAUCAUCUUAGCGAGACCCUGUCUCCAAAUAAAAAAGGGCUUAAAAAAAGAAAGAAAAAGAAAAGGCAGAGGGUGUACCUCAGUGUCAAGGGCCUGGGUUCAAUUCCCAGUACCGAAAACAAAAUAAAAACACGAAGUCGUGCCUAAUUUUCUGAGGUAGUGAGUUCCCCCAUUAAGAGAGGUGUCCAAGGGCCGGGGAUUUAGCUCAGUGGUUUCGCCACCUGCUGCUCAAGCGCAAGGACCCGAGUUCGUGUGCAGAACACCUUGGAAUAAGAUGGAAUUGUAUAACCCUAAGUGUGCUGUAACCCUAAAGUGUGCUGUGACUUUAAGAGUGCUGUAACCUAAGUAUAACACAAUCAUAAGAGUGAUGUGUAACCAUAAGAUAUUAAAGUAAUGAAAGUAGAACCUUAAGUGGUAUGGAACUGAUAAGGGUGUAGCCCGAACUGGACGGGGCGUACCCCCGAACUGGACAGGGCGUACCCCGAAUUGGGCAGAGUAUGCCCCAAGCUGGACAGUGUGGUAAGUCUGAACCAAUACCACGAACGCCCAGCUAGAAUAGUAUAAAAGGAGCUGAAGACCCCAAGCGAGUCGACGAUCCGUCCCACCGACCAGUCGACCAGUCAGUCUGAUGAUCUGACUACCGACGGAGACAUCUGCACACCUGAUCCCGCUGGGAGGAGCAUCGCCGCCGACCGGACGAGACCAGAGGACGAGGCAAGCGGAGAGGCGGAUAGCCUAGCGCCGACUCGACGCCCUUCGUCUAUGGAUCGGACCCUCUGACUCUGCGGGAGGAAACGUCGCGCUCCCAUUAAGGACUUGCGCAGUACAGGUACAGGGACGUGGUAAUUGGCAGACUUAAUAUUGUGUGGUAAUUGUAUUGAAAUGGAUUAGGAUAAUAUAAGUGUGUGAAUUGCCA